GCCCGAGUGGCGGAAUGGCAGACGCGACGGACUCAAAAUCCGUUGUCCGAAAGGGCGUGUGGGUUCGACUCCCACCUCGGGCAC
rnacentral:tRNA from 2 species